UUUCAAACUAUAUUUCGCCAAUUCUCUACCCAUCAAAAAGUAAUUAAACCAUUCCUUCAUUCAGUAAUGUUGAUCGAAAUCCAAUACAUAAUUUAAGUACCGAGAGGGAACCAAUCAUAAUUCAAAUAGUAGAGAUCAAAUCUCGUACCUUUUGCAUCAUGGGGAAACAAGAAUUCUUUUUAAAUUAAACCACCCGAACUUUAAGUGAGCUACUCUGUAGAAAUAGACCUAAUGUUGCAAAAUUAUUGUCAACUACAUAAUAGAUGCUAAAUACUUACCGCACUAAAAGAUAGCUGGUUACUCAGAAAAGAUAUAAAAGUAUCUUCUUUUAUUAAAAAGACCCAAUAACAGAAGGAUAAGCUUCUGUUAUAUUUAAUGGCUUAGGACUGCUAAUUUUUUAAAAGUAGGAAUAAAAUUUUCCACCACCAAUUUUGUUAUAAAAUAUAGAAUAUUACUUAGAAAAUUAAUUCACACAGCCUUAAUCACCACUGAGUUAUAUAGAUUAACUAGUUUACCCAACUAUAGAACUGAUGUUUUCACAAGUAUUUUUACACCUAAUCAAUCCUUUCCAAAAAUAUAGAUUUAUCCAAACUUCAAUCAAACAAAUAUAUGUAAGGAACUCGGCAAACUUACUACUCCGCCUGUUUAUCAAAAACAUGUCUCUUAGAAACUAUUAAGAGUCAGGCCUGCCCAGUGAUCACUUUAACGGCCGCGGUACCCUGACCGUGCAAAGGUAGCAUAAUCAUUUGCCUUUUAAUUGGAGGCUAGUAUGAAUGGUCUGACGAGAGUAAAACUGUCUCACAUAUAUUCAAUAGAAAUUAACCUAAAGGUGCAAAGGCCUUUAUCUAAUAAAAAGACGAGAAGACCCUGUUGAGCUUUAAUCUUAAUGAGUAUUUUUUUUAUAUUUAUAAAUUUACUCUACUCACUAAGGAUUUUAAUUGGGGCGAUUAAGGAACAAGCACAAGCUUCCUGAAUUUAACUAAAAAUGUUCAUAAAUUAAAUCGAUCCAGCAAUGUUGAUCAACAAAAUGAGUUACCACAGGGAUAACAGCAUAAUUCUCCUUGAGAGCCCAUAUCGAAAGGAGAGAUUGUGACCUCGAUGUUGGACUAGGGUAACUAGAAGGUGCAGCCGCUUUCUUGUUUGGUCUGUUCGACCAGUAAUUCCCUACAUGAUCUGAGUUCAGACCGGCGUAAGCCAGGUCAGUUUCUAUCUUUUAAUUAAUACAAAUUUAGGCUAGUACGAAAGGACCGCUUAAAAUAAAUAAUUUAUUACAUAAGUGAAAAACCAUCUAACUUAACUUU
rnacentral:rRNA from 1 species